rnacentral:lncRNA from 1 species
GGGGCACUACUUUUUUUAGAUUUCUCUAAAGCAUUUGACUCUUUAGAAUGGGAUUUUAUGUUUUCAGCUUUAAAAAAAUUUGGAUUCCAAAACUCUAUGCUUAAAUGGAUUAAAACUUUAUAUACAGAUAUAAAAAGCUCAGUAAUAAAUAAUGGAUGGAUAUCUGAACCCAUAAACAUUCAACGCGGUAUACGACAAGGGUGUCCGUGCAGUGCAUUAAUUUUUGUUAUUGCAGUAGAGAUAUUAGCCUGUAACAUAAGGCAAGACCAUAACAUUAAAGGCUUUGAAAUUAAGAUAGAUGGGAAAACACAUUCAUUAAAAGUCAGCCAACUUGCAGACGAUACAACACUUUUUCUAAAAUCACAAAAAGACAUUUCAAAAGUUUUAAAUAUGAUUGAAAUCUUUGGCACAUUAUCAGGACUUAAAUUAAACAGAUCAAAAACAGAAGGCAUAUGGUUAGGAAAACACAAACAUUGUAAAGAAAAAUAUGAAAACAUUAACUUUACAAACAAACCAGUAAAAUGUUUAGGAGUUUUUU